rnacentral:rRNA from 1 species
AACAGGAUUAGAUACCCUGGUAGUCCACGCCGUAAACGAUGUCGACUUGGAGGUUGUGCCCUUGAGGCGUGGCUUCCGGAGCUAACGCGUUAAGUCGACCGCCUGGGGAGUACGGCCGCAAGGUUAAAACUCAAAUGAAUUGACGGGGGCCCGCACAAGCGGUGGAGCAUGUGGUUUAAUUCGAUGCAACGCGAAGAACCUUACCUGGUCUUGACAUCCACGGAAGUUUUCAGA